CCUACGGGCGGCAGCAGUGGGGAAUAUUGCACAAUGGGGGAAACCCUGAUGCAGCAACGCCGCGUGAGUGAUGACGGCCUUCGGGUUGUAAAGCUCUGUCUUCAGGGACGAAGAUGACGGUACCUGACGAGGAAGCCCCGGCUAACUACGUGCCAGCAGCCGCGGUAAUACGUAGGUGGCAAGCGUUGUCCGGAUUUACUGGGCGUAAAGGGAGCGUAGGCGGCCUUUUAAGUGAGGGGUGAAAUCCCCGGGCGCAACCUGGGGGCUGCAUUGCAAACUGGAGGUCUAGAGUGCAGGAGGGGAGAAUGGAAUUCCUAGUGUAGCGGUGAAAUGCGUAGAGAUUAGGAAGAACACCAGUGGCGAAGGCGAUUCUCUGGACUGUAACUGACGCUGAGGCUCGAAGGCGUGGGGAGCAAACAGGAUUAGAUACCCGUGUAGUC
rnacentral:rRNA from 1 species